rnacentral:lncRNA from 1 species
AUAUAUAUGCAUCAAUUACUAAUUCAUAUAAUUCACAAUAUGCAUGCAUGGCAUUUUAAAAACAUACUUUCAUUUAAAUUCAAUUUAUGGGAAAAAUCAAUAGUAUAUAGGUAAAUACAGAAAAUACUGCCCACUCACCUGGAGUUUGUCCUACAACUCCCUAGCACAACACAUCAAGGCGACAUGACGAUCGAUGCAUAGAACAAUCAUCAAAUCAACCUCAGAAAUCAUAUCGAUAGAAUAUAUAACUUAUAUAAAACACGUCACUACGUAGUUCGAUCCGGAAGAUCUGCAACUCAGAUUUCCAAUCCAUAACUUCCAGAGGUCCACAAUGUUGGAAAUGUUCCCUAAAACCAAUCAUAUGAUGAUACUUUACGAACAUUUCACAUGUUAAACUAAUCUAGUUUAAUAUCAAGGGCAAAGAUUAUUGUUUGAGCUGUCUCAUAUAAAUGUUAUACGCUUAAACGAUAAGUCCAAGGAAUAUGUGAUUGGGAGAAUGCGAUCUAAAAAAGUUAGAUUCAUGAGACCAUUCUUUCGUAGACACAUCCUAAACGUUCCUGAUCAUAGGAUUGCCAAUUGGGCAUUGACAGUCCGUUAAGAUCAGUACGUGCUGUGUCUUCUCAGGGAGAGUGACUAGCCUCGAGUCAUUGGUGUGUGUGACAUCAAGACAAGCAUGUAGGUGCUCAAUAAUGAAUGAGUCCACUGAACACGAUCAACGAGAAGUUCUCAUACUCAUGUCACAUGAGAACUCAUGGUUGGGAUAAUGCAAAGUAGUCAUUUGACCUGAGGCAUCAUAGUUAUCUUAUGGUUAAGUCAUUGAUCUUUGAUUAUGUCAAAGUCACUCCAUCAGGAGGGUGUCCACGGCAUCGUCGGGGUUAAGCCACUUAGCCAUGGAGGCAAGUGAAUGCGCAACAAGGGAUCUCUAACCUUCAAACCGUUUGGGGGAGAAUACUCUAUGAUAUGAUUAAGAAUCUCUGGCCAAAGUAUGAAUGAGAUUUAGGAAGUCGUUCCAAAUCACAUUCAAGGUAAUCAUAUAAGCACACGAAUCACAUUGGAUAGUAGACACGAAUAAACUAUCAAACCAAACAAUGUGGUCAAGAGUAUUGUAUUAGAGAAAGACCGUAUUGCAUUUGUAAUCCUAAACUGAAUAGGUUCUCCACCUCUUCUGAUUAGCUUGGGUAACCAUGAUAUGCUGCUAGGUGUCACUCAUGGUUUGUGGAAGCCCUAAACGUGUAUAAUCACUAAAGGGAGAAUUGAAAGUAAGUUUCAAUUCACAAUCAAUUUGAAAUGGUUUUAAUCGCCCACUGCCUCGCUAAAAGGAACCUAAUGGAUUGUACAUCGAGUAAGGUAGAGAUUGAAGAAAAAUUGGAGAUGAGUAAGAAUAAUUAAAUGGUUUAAUUAUUUAUGGCAAGGAUUAAUUAAUAUGUUAAUUAAUCAAAGGAAUAAGUUCGUUAAAGACCUCGGGAUAGUUUUGGACCUUAAGGCCCAAUGGGCUUCGAACGUCAAGUCCAUUGACUUAAGUUGUAUGACAACUUAAUGAAUAAUGAUUCACAAAGGCCCAAAUAGCCCAAUGAAUCCCUAUGCCCCGCCAUUUAGAGAUGGAGUGGGUUUUGGACUUAUCUACAAGUUUGCCACUCCAAUGAAUUAAGGUAUAAAUAUGACUUUAUAGCCAAAAUUCAUUUAGGGUUUCUUUUUGGGAAAGGAUGAGAAAACAAAGCUCUCCUUUCUCUCUAAAGAAGCCGGCCACCCUAGAGGAAUUUAGCUAGCAAUCUUGCUUCCUCUAGGUCACUCAUUUCUACUUAAAUCUAACCUUGGUGUGGAGACUUAGAGGUUCUCUACUUUGGGAACUUGGAGAAACCUAUUCUUCCAUCUAAAUCCAUAGAUCUAAGAUGCAAGGAAUGAAGGCCUUCUCUUUGGGUGAUUAGCCUUUGCUUAUGCAAAGAGGAAUCUACAAAGGUAUAAUUUCUCAACUAACAAAUGUUGUUUUAAGUUGAGUCUUGGUUCACCAAUCUACUAGGCUUUGAAUUUCAUGGGUAAUGUUUUGUUUUUAAGUGCAUACAAGCAUGAUUUCGCUUUUUUAUUGUUAAUUGCAUGCUAUAGAUGUUGCUUAAAUGAACAUAUUUUUCACAAAAUUUCCUUCACACAAUAUAUCUCUAGAACAACAUCCUAAAAUUUCCUUACCAUCCAACGGUCGGAUCUCCGUCAAUUGUCAAAACCAAGUGACGGUUAACAUUCUAUUUUAUGAUCUUACAACUCCAAUUCCGGAAGAUCCGUGAAUCGGAUUCCCAAUCUGUAAGUUCCUAUCAUCCUCAAAUAUUACGUAUUACAAUGUAUCAAAGUUUGGUGACGAUCCAACGGUCGGAUCGUCAAUUCACAUUUUCACCUAACCACGAAUCGUAACGAACUUAGGUUCAAUUACUCAACUUAUGUCAAUCAAUUAUCAAAACUGAAUCUAGAACAUAAACACAUGCUAAGAAUGAUAUU